ACCCCUUCACCCCCGUCCCCCCGUCCAGCCAUGGCAUCAACAUUAACGUCCCCCACCUCAACAAUAACAUCAACAAAUUCCUCUCCAUCAAUCCCUCUUCUACAAACCUCAAAUCCCUUCUUCAAUCCCAUGCCUUGAUAAUCACAACAGGACACACUAACAAAAUUUACAUAGCAGCAAAACUCAUCUCUCUUUACGCUUCCACCACUGAACAACAUCUCAUUUCUUCGAAAAAAGUAUUCGAUUUCACCAUUUUUAAAGACCCUUUUCUUUGGAAUUCAAUAAUCAAAGCUUAUUUUUCCAAUGGGAAAUAUACAAAAUCACUUGAGCUCUUUAACAAUAUGUGAAGUUUUAGUGUUUUGCCUAAUCAGUUUACCUUACCAAUGGUUUUUUCGGCUAUUGCGGAACGUGGGUUGGUUAAUUUUGGGACGGAAGUUCAUGGGUUGGUAUCAAAAUUGAAUCUUGUUGAGGAAAAUAGUGCAUUUGGAUCAUCUUGGGUAUACAUGUACACGAAAUUUGGGUUGAUGGGUAAUGCAUAUAAGGAAAGAUCAAAAUAAUGAAAAGGAGAAAAGCGUAGAUAAUUGCAAAAGAAUAAAGUAGAAUCGAAAAGUUAUGACAAUGCAUGUAAAGCCAAUUGAAGCAAAGCAAAGGAGCAUAACAUGGAGGUGGCGACAACAACGACGGAAUCUAUUCAGUGUUUCGAGGCGAAAGAAGACUGUUGUAGCAGUAACCCUGCUUGUCGCUGAUCCGAGAAGGUGUGAGCUUAAGAAUUUUGGUGGUUGUGGUGCUCGUUCUAAGUUCCAGAAAUCUUACCGUUGAUUUCUGUUUUAUGUUUGAAAAUGUUAGUCCUUUAUUGUUAUGGUUUUGGAAUUUUGCUAUCAAUUUUAAAGUUAUUUUAUGUUUUGGAUUUUAAACUUUUAUCAAGUGAUUGCAUGAUGAUGUAUUAAGUUCAUGCAUAAGUAGAUGGAUAAUGAAUUGGAUUCUAUUU